CGUAGGUGGCAAGCGUUGUCCGGAUUUAUUGGGCGUAAAGGGAACGCAGGCGGUCUUUUAAGUCUGAUGUGAAAGCCUUCGGCUUAACCGAAGUAGUGCAUUGGAAACUGGAAGACUUGAGUGCAGAAGAGGAGAGUGGAACUCCAUGUGUAGCGGUGAAAUGCGUAGAUAUAUGGAAGAACACCAGUGGCGAAAGCGGCUCUCUGGUCUGUAACUGACGCUGAGGUUCGAAAGCGUGGGUAGCAA
rnacentral:rRNA from 1 species